GACGAACGCUGGCGGCGUGCUUAACCCAUGCAAGUCGAACGGAAAGGCCCUGCUUUUGUGGGGCGCUCGAGUGGCGAACGGGUGAGUAUCCCGUGAGUAUCCUGACCUUGACUUUGAGAUAACUUCAGGAAACUGGGGCUAAUAACGGCUAGGAGCUCCUGCCGCAUGGUGGGGGUUGGAAAGGUUCGGCGGUUGGGGAUGGACUCGCGGCUUAUCAGCUUGAUCGUGGGGUAGUGACUUACCAAGGCUUUGCCGGGUAGCCGGCCUGAGAGGGUGACCGGCCACAGUGGGACUGGGAUGCGGCCCAGACUCCUACGGGAGGCAGCAGUGGGGAGUAGUGCACAAUGGGCGGAAGCCUGAUGCAGCAACGCCGCGUGCGGGGUGACGGCCUUCGGGUUGUAAACCGCUUUCGCCUGUGACGAAGCGUGAGUGACGGUAAUGGGUAAAGAAGCACCGGCUAACUACGUG
rnacentral:rRNA from 1 species